CAGAGGGUGCAAACGUUGCUCGGAAUCAUUGGGCGUAAAGCGCACGUAGGCGGUCCAGCAAGUGGGGAGUGAAAGCCCUCGGCUUAACCGAGGAAGUGCUUUCCAAACAACUGGACUUGAGUACUGAAGAGGGUCGCGGAAUUCCCGGUGUAGAGGUGAAAUUCGUAGAUAUCGGGAGGAACACCAGUGGCGAAGGCGGCGACCUGGGCAGAUACUGACGCUGAGGUGCGAAAGCGUGGGGGAGCAAACAGGAUUAGAUACUCUGGUAGUCCACGCCGUAAACGAUGAGUGCUAGAUGUCGCGGGUAUUGACCCCUGCGGCGUCGAAGUUAACGCAUUAAGCACUCCGCCUGGGGAGUACGGCCGCAAGGCUA
rnacentral:rRNA from 1 species